CCCUCUCUACCUGUGGAAACACCUUUGGGGAGUGCUCCACCUAAAUGUCCAGUCCACCAGGUGCACUUGCAAAUGGCAAAAUAGUAUAGAAGGUGGCUGUCCACCACUGCCUGACUGGACCUCCUGCUGCUCCUGCUAUUCUUCCAUGCCUCCUUGCUUUUGGAGAAUUAAACUCUCAUCAAAGAUCACAUCUUUACUGA
rnacentral:lncRNA from 1 species